rnacentral:rRNA from 1 species
UUCGGGGGACGAGGGUGACAGGUGGUGCAUGGUUGUCGUCAGCUCGUGUCGUGAGAUGUUGGGUUAAGUCCCGCAACGAGCGCAACCCUCGACCUUAGUUGCCAGCAUUCAGUUGGGCACUCUAAGGUGACUGCCGGCUAAAAGUCGGAGGAAGGUGGGGAUGACGUCAAAUCAUCAUGCCCCUUAUGACCUGGGCUACACACGUGCUACAAUGGGCGGUACAAAGGGUCGCGAACCCGCGAGGGGGAGCCAAUCCCAAAAAGCCGCUCUCAGUUCGGAUUACAGGCUGCAACUCGCCUGCAUGAAGCCGGAAUCGCUAGUAAUCGCGGAUCAGCAUGCCGCGGUGAAUACGUUCCCGGGCCUU